GUCCAUGGGGACUACAGUAACAAAAGAGGCCAUGAAAUGUCUCUCUCUGAAUCCAUGUGGAACAGGAAGUGACGAUUCUUUUGACCAAUCCAAAGACUGCAGUGCCUGUUAUAUUGAUAUUUGUUCCCUGUUUUAUAGAUUUUAAAUGUAGCUGUCACAGAAAAUUAUAUUUCUUUGAACAGGAUUUUGUUAUAAUUACAGAGAAAAUGUUUUAUUUUGAAAUGUGUUCAGAUUCUAUGCUCUGUUACUGACACCUACUGGUCUAAUUGUGUAUUGCGCUGAGUGUUCAGCAUGCAGUGUUCACAUGUUUAAUUGAAGCAAUAAAACGUGCUGCCAGAAGCUAGUACCAACGGUAGGACACAGAUGAAGGAGACGCGUCUGAAGAACUUUAAAAGACUGCAAAGCCUAAACAUGUGUGGUUAGAAGGUGCACACGUUUUUCACGGUGUUUGCUGACAAAAGGAAAAGAAUAAAUAUUGGUGAAACAUCAGUUGGAGCGUGGCUGAUCUGUACCAGAUGAAGAAACUUUGGGAGCAGUUAUAUUAAAUAUUUUUUAAGUGAAUAGAAUCCUUUUUAUUGUUUUAAUAUCUUCACUUUUGUUUUAAUUUCAGGUCUAAGUCAGUAGUCUGAACCUUUAUUCAUGAUACAGGAGUCACCCUGCUGAUGGAGGGAUGAACAUUUUAAAAGAAAGACUCUGUUGUUACCAGUUACAGUGUAAUGUCGCCCCCUAGAGGCUGCAGAGUGCAUCACAUGUCUAAUCUUCCUGGUACGAGGAGUGGCCUUUUUGUCUUUGAGUAUAAAUGAGUUUUAACCUCAAAUGAAAAGUGAAUCUUUGUUUAUCUGAUGAUGAAGACAGAGGUUAGUUUGACCUCUUCACCAACUCUUCAGGCGGUGCUGGGAUCAGGAAGCUUUCAGAGAUGUGAGGAGCAGGAGGCAGGACUUUUCCUACGAUAUUCUCAGCAGAAGAUCAGCAUCAAACUGUCACAUCACGCCAUGGCACGUUUUUUUAUAGACUCUCAUUUUGGAGCAGACGAGGUGCAGGUGAAGCAGAGACAUGCAGCUUUGUUUUGGUGCGUUUGCUUGUUCAAACUUUGUUUCAGCAGGAGGACUCAGGAGACAUUUGGAGGAGCAGAGGUGAGGCGUCAUGAGUGACAACUGACAACCAGCUACCAGAGGAAGCAACCAAAGGCUGCAACAAACUCAGGCAACUCACAGGAAACAGUUACUUUAUCUUCAGUGUCAUCGUUUAUCGUUUCUGAGAGCAGAGAGUCGUCUGAACUUUACCAGUUUGUUUUUGAGAGAGAGAGAGAGAGAGAGAGAGAGAGAGAGAAGCAGCAACCACCUAACAUUUGUUUUUAACAAGAAGCAUCUUUCUUCUGCUGUCAUCUCCGAUGCUUUCACUGUGCAGCACCAUGACCUUCAUUUAACCUUCAUUUAACCGUCACCAGGUGUUGUUUUAGGAUCUUUAUCAGACCUGUCGAUCAGGAGAAGAGAGAGGAACUCAGAAACAGACUCUUUCUUUCAUUAUUACAUGGAUCAGGACUGUACAGAGACUUUAGAGUCGGUGACUGGAGCCAGUCCACAGUUUUUUAACCCUUAAUGUGUCCUUUUAUCAAACCUGUCGAUGUGUUGUUGUUUUUUUAUCAUUCCUUCUUUACCUCAGACUGAAACUCAACCAAAGCCCUAACCCUGACAGAGGGAGAUGGUGAAACGUGUCAGUGCUCAUCACCUGCUGCAGCAGUGUGGAGACGUGACAGAUUAUCAGCUUUAAGCGUCUUUAUAUCACAGCUGGUGAUCGGUGUUUCUCUUUUUCUUAUUGAAGCACUGAGUCUUACUUUGGUCUGUUUUCCAGAGCUGUCUUUAUAUUUGCAUGUAUACCAGCAGUAGUAGAAGUGACUAUGAUAAUGAAGUUGGAGUUGUGAUCAGAGUCGUUUCAGACUGAGCUCGCAGGUCGACCCCGUCACCUUGAAUCUGUGUGUCAGACGUUCACAUCACAGACACUCUUCAUCCUUUAAAUAUCCUUUAAGUGUUCAAGCUGUAACUAGAAUUCUCAUAUAAAUGUCAUGCUAUUCAGUCUCAGGUCGUCUCAUUAACAGUGUGUUUAAACAUCCCACCACCAGGGGGCAGCAGAGCCUGAAGAGAGAGUAUCAGCAUCAUAAAACUCAGAUUCAGGUCAAUUCAUCAAAAAACUGUUUUUACAGCAUAAAUGAAUGUUUACAGCCUGUGCUUUGUCUCCAGGCGGUCGCUUCCUGCUGUGAACGCUCUCUACUCAUAGAAAACAGCUGGAGAAAAGAUGCUGGUGCUCAGAAGAAGACGUCAGGUGGACACGGGGCCUUACACAGAGGUCGUUUAUACUCGGCUGGACGGGUCAUUCAAAAAAACAUUUUGGGGAAAAUGAAGAGCAUCCUCACUUCUUCAGCCACCACUUCACUACUGUUGCUAUGUCAACAUUUGAGCUUUGGUCGUCAUGGCAACAUGGCCACCUUGGGGAUGUGGUUUAUUCAGGUUUGAUUAUUGUUUAAGUGGCACGCUACGGACUCCGUACAAAAGCUCAUUAUCAUCAUUAUCUUCUCAGAAGAACAACACAGAACAACAUCUUUUAUUUUAAAGGUGUGACGUCAUCAUGAUUACGUCAUCUUUCUUCUCACUUACAAAACGUUAUCUUAACUUUAAAGUUGAAUAAAGUGAAACUGCUUCAACUG